rnacentral:rRNA from 1 species
ACGGGGCCGCACAAGCGGUGGAGCAUGUGGUUAAUUCGACGCAACGCGAAGAACCUUACCAGGGCUUGACAUCCCCUGACCGCGUAUGAAAGUACGUUUUCACCCUCGGGUGACAGGGAGACAGGUGGUGCAUGGUUGUCGUCAGCUCGUGUCGUGAGAUGUUGGGUUAAGUCCCGCAACGAGCGCAACCCCUACGUUUAGUUGCUAACGCGUGAAGGCGAGCACUCUAGACGAACUGCCGUUGACAAAACGGAGGAAGUGGGAUGACGUCAAAUCAUCAUGCCCCUUAUGUUCUGGGCUACACACGUGCUACAAUGGCCGGUACAGACGGACGCAAAGCCGCGAGGUGGAGCAAAUCCUAAAAAGCCGGUCUCAGUUCGGAUUGCAGGCUGCAAUUCGCCUGCAUGAAGUCGGAAUCGCUAGUAAUCGCAGGUCAGCAUACUGCGGUGAAUACGUUCCCGGGCCUU